rnacentral:sRNA from 1 species
UGUUUAGGGGAAAGUAGGGGCUUUGGGUGUUGGGAGCCGGCUGACGGGUGGACAAGGAGGGGUUAGCAGCUGGGCUGCGACCGUUAGCGAGGGGCUCAAGGUGUGCAUGUGUGAGGGAAGAGGGAGAGAGAGAAGGGCGCUUCAGAGGUGACUUUCAGCCUGCGAGCCUUCUUCCCGGGGCGCCAUAAAAGCCCCCAAUUUCCCAGCUGCUAAAGGAAGAAGAAGAUUCAACCCUAUGAAAAGAUAAAGGCCAGGGGCUUGCCUGAUAAUAUAUCUUCUGUGUUGAACAAACUAGUGGUGGUGAAACUCAAUGGUGGUUUGGGAACCAGCAUGGGCUGCAAAGGCCCUAAAAGUCUGAUUGGUGUGAGGAAUGAGAAUACCUUUCUGGAUCUGACUGUUCAGCAAAUUGAACAUUUGAAUAAAACCUACAAUACAGAUGUUCCUCUUGUUUUAAUGAACUCUUUUAACACGGAUGAAGAUACCAAAAAAAUACUACAGAAGUACAAUCAUUGUCGUGUGAAAAUCUAUACUUUCAAUCAAAGCAGGUACCCGAGGAUUAAUAAAGAAUCUUUACUUCCUGUAGCAAAGGACGUGUCUUACUCAGGGGAAAAUACAGAAGCUUGGUACCCUCCAGGUCAUGGUGAUAUUUACGCCAGUUUCUACAACUCUGGUUUGCUUGAUACCUUUAUAGGAGAAGGCAAAGAGUAUAUUUUUGUGUCUAACAUAGAUAAUCUGGGUGCCACAGUGGAUCUGUAUAUUCUUAAUCAUCUAAUGAACCCACCCAAUGGAAAACGCUGUGAAUUUGUCAUGGAAGUCACAAAUAAAACACGUGCAGAUGUAAAGGGUGGGACACUGACUCAAUAUGAAGGCAAACUGAGACUGGUGGAAAUUGCUCAAGUGCCAAAAGCACAUGUAGAUGAGUUCAAGUCCGUAUCAAAGUUCAAAAUAUUUAAUACAAACAACCUAUGGAUUUCUCUUGCAGCAGUUAAAAGACUGCAGGAGCAAAAUGCCAUUG